UACGUAGGGUGCGAGCGUUGUCCGGAAUUAUUGGGCGUAAAGGGCUCGUAGGCGGUUUGUCGCGUCGGGAGUGAAAACUCAGGGCUUAACCCUGAGCCUGCUUCCGAUACGGGCAGACUAGAGGUAUGCAGGGGAGAAUGGAAUUCCUGGUGUAGCGGUGAAAUGCGCAGAUAUCAGGAGGAACACCGGUGGCGAAGGCGGUUCUCUGGGCAUUACCCGACGCUGAGGAGCGAAAGUGUGGGGAGCGAACAGG
rnacentral:rRNA from 1 species